rnacentral:rRNA from 1 species
CUUUACUGCAGCCUGGAAUUGUGUUCGGGCUUCGCUUGCGCAGGAUAGGUGGGAGGCACAGAAGUUCCCCUUGUGGGGGGAAUCGAGCCAACGGUGAGAUACCACUCUAGCGAGGCUAGAAUUCUAACCCUUGCCCGUCAGCCGGGAAGGAGACAGUUUCAGGGGGGCAGUUUGACUGGGGCGGUCGCCUCCUAAAAGGUAACGGAGGCGCGCAAAGGUUCUCUCAGGCUGGUUGGAAAUCAGCCGUAGAGUGUAAAGGCAUAAGGGAGCUUGACUGCAAGACCUACAAGUCGAGCAGGGUGGAAACACGGUCUUAGUGAUCCGACGGUGCCGCAUGGAAGGGCCGUCGCUCAACGGAUAAAAGUUA